AUACGGAGGGUGCAAGCGUUAUUCGGAAUCACUGGGCGUAAAGGACGCGUAGGCGGGUUGGCAAGUCAGAUGUGAAAUCCUACAGCUUAACUGUAGAACUGCAUUUGAAACUGCUAACCUAGAGUAUGGGAGGGGGAGAUGGAAUUAGUGGUAUAGGGGUAAAAUCCGUAGAUAUCACUAGGAAUACCGAAAGCGAAGGCGAUCUCCUGGAACAUAACUGACGCUAAGGCGUGAAAGCGUGGGGAGCAAACAGGAUUAGAAACCCUAGUAGUCC
rnacentral:rRNA from 1 species